CCGGAGCUAGUUUUAAUCUACUGUUCGUUAAUGAGGAUUCCUCCUCGUCAGAAUGUGUAACGAAUUGCUGUGUGUAGUCUUUACCCAUCCCCUGAGAUGGGUUUUUUUUUGC
rnacentral:other from 1 species